AGCGAACGCUGGCGGCAGGCCUAACACAUGCAAGUCGAACGAAACCUUCGGGUUUAGUGGCGGACGGGUGAGUAACACGUGGGAACGUGCCCUUUGGUUCGGAACAACUCAGGGAAACUUGAGCUAAUACCGGAUGUGCCCUUCGGGGGAAAGAUUUAUCGCCAUUGGAGAGGCCCGCGUAGGCUUAGCUAGUUGGUGGGGUAAUGGCCCACCAAGGCUCCGAUCCUUAGCUGGUCUGAGAGGAUGAUCAGCCACACUGGGACUGAGACACGGCCCAGACUCCUACGGGAGGCAGCAGUGGGGAAUCUUGCGCAAUGGGCGAAAGCCUGACGCAGCCAUGCCGCGUGAAUGAUGAAGGUCUUAGGAUUGUAAAAUUCUUUCACCGGGGACGAUAAUGACGGUACCCGGAGAAGAAGCCCCGGCUAACUUCGUGCCAGCCGCCGCUGUAA
rnacentral:rRNA from 1 species